rnacentral:rRNA from 1 species
GACGAACGCUGGCGGCGUGCUUAACACAUGCAAGUCGAACGGUGACCCAUCUUCGGAUGGUGAUCAGUGGCGAACGGGUGAGUAACACGUGGGCAACCUGCCCCUAGCUCUGGGAUAACUCCUCGAAAGAGGUGCUAAUACCGGAUAUCACCUCCCUGGACAUCCAGGGUGGUUGAAAGUUUUUCGGCUAGGGAUGGGCCCGCGGCCUAUCAGCUUGUUGGUGGGGUAAUGGCCUACCAAGGCGACGACGGGUAGCCGGCCUGAGAGGGCGACCGGCCACGCUGGGACUGAGACACGGCCCAGACUCCUACGGGAGGCAGCAGUGGGGAAUAUUGCGCAAUGGGCGAAAGCCUGACGCAGUAACGCCGCGUGAGGGAUGACGGCCUUCGGGUUGUAAACCUCUUUCAGCAGGGACGAAGCGAAAGUGACUGUACCUGCAGAAGAAGCGCCGGCUAACUACGUGCCAGCCGCCGCCGUAAGAC